CUGGAGGUUGCUUUGUUGGUGCUGUGAGGAUCGACGGGACACCGCCAUUUUCCCCCCGAAGCUCCGUCUGUCAACAAUAACAGCUGGAGCCACUGCGCUUCCGCUCAGUGCGAGAAGGCUUCCGGUUGGAGGCUAUGCGAGACAGAUGGGAAUCAAGAUUCAUAUCUGAAGAGCUGAAUAUUACAGAAUGCUUCCAGAGGAGAAAAGAUCGAUGCUUAAAAAGUCUGAUGGAUGCAAAUAAUGACCAAGCCCACGUCGGUGGUCAAGGGAAGAUAAUGGAUGCCAAGAACCCCAAAACUCCUUAUUUGCUUAUUGCUUAUCAUACAUAAACAUGAGAAUAAUCUUACUGAUAAACACUUGCCAGUCAUAAUCAUUUCAGUAGAUUGAACUUAUUGGAAAAUGCUCAUUUAAAUGCCAUAUUUUGUAUUAGAGGUAUUAUUUUUACCCCUUUACCUCGUUUUAAUAAGGUUUUUCCCUCUAUUUAAUAAAACAUUAUGUGACAAUUGAUGAUUACAUUUGCAUUAACUACAGGGAUAUUUUUGAUUGCAUUAACCAACACUCUGUCACUUUAUAAGUUCAGGUUCAAAAAUAAAUAUGUAAAAAUAAUAAUAAUGUUUUCUAAAUCUAAAACACUUACAGAUUCAAUGUAGACAAGAGUCUGUUUUCUGAUAUAUGGUGCUUGUUUCAGAUCAGCACACAUGCACCAAAAGAACUUUACCGAUGGUGCCUUUUGCACUUUUGACUGUUCACACAGAGAAAGUGUGAAAAUGCAGAGAAAAUACGAGCAAAUGCUUCAGUUUGGUGUGUUGUAAAACCUCUAACACAGAUGUGAAAAUAAUAAAAAAAGUGAAGUGAACAUGCUGCAGCUUCAAUGUUUAGCCUGCUCAGAACAGCUAAGAUGAAAUCAAAGAUUUGACAUAUUGUUUGGUUAGACACUACAUGCUUGUAAUCAGUUUGAAUGUUUGCUGAAGUAUACACAGAUGUGACAGACCUGAUCUCAAGUGAAGAAAAACAAAAACAAAUGGUCAGUAGUUAAAACAUACUGACAUUUUACAGGAUUCCCAUAGCUUUUGAGAAAGGCAUUCCAUAAAUUCUCCAGUAAUUUGAGGUUAUGCAGAAAUGUUAAACAUAUUGCAGACUGCUAUCACAAUGAACAACUUUUAGCUAAAUAACUUAGAUCGGAGCAUGUUUUUUUGUUUGUUAUUUUUUUCA